UCUGACAAGGCUUCUAUUCAGAUGUAGUCAAGUAAAUGUUGGCAUCACUUUAUUUGUAAUUUUUCACCUACUCAAUAGAAAUAUUUAAUCUAUCUCAAGUGAUUCAUUUAGGUACUUCCUGGAAAUUUCCUAAAGAUUCCACAAUCCUUUGUUAGCAAUACAUUUAAAUCCAGCCAGCUUGUUGCAAAAUCUGAUUCUAGCUAAAUUUUUAUUUUAUGAAACAAUGAUAGCUAAUGCAAGCUACAACAAAUCAGAAAAGUCUAAAUGAGGCACAUUUGCAAAUUGUCACCAGUUGAUUGGCUUAUUAACAGCAGCAAAUAAAGGGAAGGCAGGUAUAAGCAGAAUGGCCAUUUUGAGAGCAGCCAUUGUUGUAGUGGACCAGUGUUAGAGUGGGGGUGUUGAGGCUUUGGUGAAAGAGGUUCUGGUUGCUGGCAAGAACAGUAUUAUUAUGCAUUCCUGAUUGCCUUUGAGAAUGUGGUGGUGAGCUGCCACCUUCAACUACUGCUGGUCUUCUGAAGAAGUGUUCCCAUGCACUGCUGCUCUUGUCCUUGAUUGCAGGUGCUGUUAGAGUAGACUGGAUGGUGUCCAGAAUCUUGAGUUGUUGGAGCUGUAUUCAUCCAGCUAAGUAGAGAUUCCAUCUCACUCCUGACUUGUGUAUUGCAAACAGUGGAAAGGCUUGGAGUGUGACUAGGUGAGUCAAACACAAAGAUUGUCGAAGCUCAAUCAUCUCAGCCCUAGGACAUCAUUGAAAGAAUUCCUUGGGGCUGUGUUAGGCCUAACCAUCUUCAACUGCUUCACCAAUGAUCUUCCCAUCGUAGGGUCAGAAUUGGGGACAAUGUUCAAUUCUACCUGCAACUUCUCAACAAAUUAGCCAGUACAUUCAUGUUGCAAGACCUAGACAACAUUGAAGCUCCACAAGUGCUGGAGAAUUAACAACAAGAGUCAAUCUAACCACCUAGCCUUGACACUCAAUGUCAUUACCACUGCUACGUGUCCCAGCAUUAACAUCCUAUGGUCACCAUUAACCAGAUGCUUCUAAACAUAAAUGCAAUGGCUGCAAGAACAAGUUAGCCUUUGAUGCCCACUGACUUCUGUUUUAACAGGCCACAUUGAUGCCACACUCAGUAAACUGCUGCAUUGAUGUCAAGGGCAAUCAUUCUUAUCUGGCUUCUGGAAUUCAGCUCCUUGGUCUAUGUGUGGACCAAGGCUGUGAUAUUGUCUGGAGUGGAGUAUAGGGGUCAUGGCGAAACCCAAACUGGGCAUCAGUGAAUCAGUUAUGGUGAAUAAAUGCUACUUGAUAACACUGUCAAUGACAUCAUAUUGUAGAAUGAUAAGAAUUAAAUAAUUCUUGAGAAUAAUUAUCUGUAUUUAUCAUCUUUGUUCCCUCUGCUUGUUAACAUACCUCUAAGACAGGUGCAAGUUUGUCAGGUUUCAAUAAAAGUUAAUAUUCAAGU